rnacentral:misc_RNA from 1 species
UCGGUUUAAAAAUGUCUAUUUAAUGAAUCACUGAAAUACAUCCACAUUGCUAAUGCAUAUUAAAAAAGUGCACAUAAGAGAAAUUAAAAAUACAAAAUACAAAUGCAUCAAUUACUUUUUCUUCCCUGCUUUCCCUUCCUUUAAUCUUAUAACUUCAUUGGCAUACCUCACACCUUUACCUUUAUAUGGCUCAGGAGGCCUCCAUUUCCUAACCGAAGCAGCAAACUGGCCAAUGUUACACUUGUCAUAUCCACUAAUAAUGAUCCUCGUGUUCUCUUCCACCUUCACUUUUAGGUCACCAGGUAUUUCCAUUCUAACUGGAUGAGAAAAUCCCAGACUUAACACCAAGUCUUUUCCUUCUACUGUUGCACGAUACCCAACGCCAACUAGCUGAAGUCUCUUCUCAAACCCUUUUGAUACUCCCACCACCAUGUUGUCUGUAAGUGUCCUGAAAAGUCCAUGCAUUUGGUUGGCUCUUCUUGUGUCCAAUGCCUUUUUAACACGAAUAGUUCCAUUCUCAUCUCUCUCAAGCUUCACCUCUCGAGGAUAAGUUCUUGAAAGUUCCCCCAAAGGACCCUUCACUUUUAGAUCUCGGCCAUCCAGUGUGAUUGUCACAUUGGAAGGCACUGAAAUUGGUUGCUUCCCGAUUCGUGACUCCUUACAUUCUAUAGUCUU